CGUGUUGAAUCCGGCCAAUCGGAGAGCGGAAAAGGGCUAUAAAUACCGGCGCCGCAACAGAGCUGCUUCAUUCCACGGCGCAGCUUACGAGAGCCUCUUGUUGUGUCUCUGAGCCAUGGCCCGCACGAAGCAGACGGCGCGUAAGUCGACGGGCGGGAAGGCGCCCCGCAAGCAGUUGGCCACCAAGGCGGCCCGCAAGAGCGCGCCGGCCACGGGCGGCGUGAAGAAGCCGCACCGCUACCGGCCCGGCACGGUGGCGCUGCGCGAGAUCCGGCGCUACCAGAAGUCCACGGAGCUGCUGAUCCGCAAGCUGCCCUUCCAGCGCCUGGUGCGCGAGAUCGCGCAGGACUUCAAGACCGACCUGCGCUUCCAGAGCUCGGCCGUGAUGGCGCUGCAGGAGGCGAGCGAGGCCUACCUGGUGGGGCUCUUCGAGGACACCAACCUCUGUGCCAUCCACGCCAAGCGCGUCACCAUCAUGCCCAAGGACAUCCAGCUGGCCCGUCGCAUCCGCGGCGAGCGCGCCUGAGCCUCCUGUCUAAGGUCUGUUGUGAUCCUUCAUCUGCACACCCUAAAGGCUCUUUUAAGAGCCACCACUUAACACAAAAGAGCUGUCACACAGUCUCAAUUUCUGAAGUGGGUUUAAGGUAGUGUAGUUUUUCUGUAAGUCAUUUUCAAGUACCUAUACUCAGUAUUUAGCUUGCAGUCACACCCUCCCUAGCUCUGCUCAGCUGUUUUCUUGGGAUGCAGACUGUUGCCAUCAGAUAACUGCAGUUCCAGAGAAAACACAUUUAUAAACUUAACCUAAUUGAGUUGUCUGAAACUGCUUGAUAAUUUUUAAUAGGCUUUUUCAACAACUAUGUAGGGAGGGGCAGAGAAAAUGUAACUGCAUAAAUUAGAAAAAUAAUUGCUCAGAGAACACUAAUGAGGAAUAGUUUUUAUUUAGUACUGCCAAGAGCUACAGUGUUUUAAAAGAAUAAACCCAAAAUGUAUUAUGUAGAGUCCUAGAAUAAUCCUGUACCCUUGACAUUUCACCACUGUUUUUUCCAGUUAAAGAUUUUUUUUUAAUGGAGCAGUCCAGAUUUUUCAUUUGAAGCCAUGUGGAAGGCACAACCUGAGUUGGUAUUGGAAGGUAAGCAUCAAAGUAUACUCAAUAAAAUCAAUUUCUUACUAGGAUAUAGUCUAAAAAUGUACACACUUAAGAUGGCUGAGAGCCCUUAAACAAAAAAAUGCUGACAAGCAUGAUGCAAGGGCCAAAUGGGAAAUAAAUUAGUAAUAAUUAGUAUUAGUUACUGGAACCUUGUAUUUCAUUUUCCUUUGCUUUAUGACUUGAAGGAAAGGCUAGAAUAGAUGACAAAGGAGAACAUGGAAAAAGGAAAGAUAAUCUGCUUGAUGUUUCUGGGACAUCUCACCUCAAAUUUUUAAAAAUUGAUAGAGAGCAAUGCCACAGGGAAAUGUUUUGUGGCUUUUUAGGGGGGGAAAGAAGCAGUGGUCAGACCUCAGCAGCUUUGUAAAUAAUGAGAGGCCUAUAGGAAAGGGGCUUAGGUUUGAGAACCAAGGCAACCAUUUUGUUUUUGUUGAUAAAAAGGUGGAGGGAUCAGAAAAUUAGCAUUUACUGGAAUUUAGUUGCUUCAAUAAAAUUAUUUGGUCAGGAAAUUACAGUGUUUUGAUUAGUUGUGUCAGGUCUUUCAGACUCUAUUGGUUGGAAUAUUUAAGAGAAAUCACCUUUCAAUUCACUACUAAAAAGACUCAGAUUCUUCUGGAUUUUUUUAGGUCUUUUGUUAUCACAACAGCUUUUCCUCUGCCCUUGAUAACAGUGCCUGGCCUGUCUCACACACUUCUGUAAAUGUUACCAAAUUGUUCUGAAAUUAAAAGUCAGGUAUUGGAGGAUGACACCUGUGGAACCCUACAAGUUAAAACAUGGUAGAUACAAGUAACAGCCAUACCAUAAUGAUUCGUGACAUUUCUAUAAAGUUGGAAGUGCUCCCACUGGAAUAGCACCGAUACCGUCUAUUAGCUGAGUUUGAAUGGAUUUUUACAAUUCUAAAAUUAACAAUACGGCUGAGUUCAGUAGGCUCCAUCCAGUCGUUAAUUGUUGUUCCACAUCGGCGGUGUAUUAUUGACUGAAAUGUGCCCCCGUGGCCAAGAAGGCCAAUGGUAUCCUGCGAUGCAUCAUGAAGAGUGUUACCAGCAGGUCAAGGGAGGUUCUUCUCACCCCCUACUCUGCUCUGGUGAGGCCUCAUCUGGAGUACUGUGUCCAGUUCUGGGCUCCCCAGCUCAAGAGGGACAGGGAAGUGCUGGAGGGAGUCCAGUGCAGGGCCAUCAAGGUGAUCAGGGGACUGGAACAUCUUUCACACAAGGAAAGGUUUCAGGAACUGGGGCUGUUCAGUCUGUAGAAGAGGAGACUGAGAGGGAAUCUUAUUAACAUUUACAAAUAUCUAAAUGAUUGGAUGUUAGAAGAUUGAGGCAUCCUUUUUUUCUACAGUAGCUAGCGACAGGACAAGGGGUAAUGCGAUGAAGCUGGAGCACAAAAAGUUCCACUUAAAUAUAAGGAAAAACUAUUUCACUGUUCAGGUGAGGGAGCCCUGGCACAGGCUGCCCAGAGGGUUUGUGGAGUCUCCUUCCUUGGAGGUCUUCGAGACCCUCCUGGACAUGUUCCUAUGCAACCUGAUCUAGGUGAACCUGCUUCUGCAGGGAGGCUGGACUAGAUAAUCUCUAAAGGUCCCUUCUAACCCCUACCAUUCUGUGAUUCUAUUAAAUGCCUUAGCUUUGUAUCUAGAUACCACUUUGAGGUUAGGGAAGGUUGAUAUGGCUAAAACCUCAGACUUGUUUCACUUGUAAAUAAAUAGUGAGGUCUAGAGGUGAAAAUGACUUCACUGAAACAGAAACUAGUGCCUGCUUAGAGUGCGCUCCCAGGCUCUGUAAGGAGCCCUCACUGACCCUGUACUGGAAUCUGCUCCCAAAAGCACAUGAGAAAAUCAUCAUGACCAAGAAAUUGUUAAUAUCUUUCCUGUAUUCCCAGGUCUUGCAUCACUGAUGUCUAGUAAAAUUUCUAAAUACAACUGGGUAGGAUCUUACAACUUUAAGAAAGUGAUACUCAUUUCAAGAGAGUUAUCUUUCUUUUGAUUAUUUUUAAUUCUUAUUUUUCUAGCUAAUAUUAAAUAUACUCUAAGACAAAUGAAGCAGUAGUAACAAUAACUGAAGUUAUGCUUUUGUCAUCUGAAUCUGAAGAGAACACAAAACUUUUAUUCUCUAUUGGAAGAUUUCCUUCACCCCUCAGGCUCUGAGUGCAAAGGCUCGUCUCACAUUAUGCUGCCUUUCAAUACAAUGAGAAAUCUCAUUUAUCUUUGAUUCCAAAACUUGACAACCUAACAUUUUUAUUCUCCUUUGGUUUGCCUUCAUUCUGAUUCACUAGUAACUUGGAAAAGUUUUUAAUUUACAUGCAAAUAAACAGAGGUAUAACCUCUCUCUAAAAUAA